CUUCUAGUCAACAACUACUUGCAUGGGCAGCAAGCACACGAGAGUAUUUCUGCUAUGAGUGUUAUAAUUUCUAGUUCAGCUCAGUACACUUCCUUACUGAGCCAUCCUUGCCUACGAGUGAGGCAAUGCUGGUUGGCACUGCAGCAGAUCUGAUGAAGAUUUUGCUACAGCAACUCCAGUCAACGCUGCCAAGCUGCCAGCUCUUCAAAGCCAUGUGCCACCUUAACAGGUGAAAUCGGGAUCUAAUCAGUGCUACAGCACCAAGGCACAGUUAUUAUAUGUGUAUAAAGUAAUUCUAGCACUGGAUAUGUUAAUCUCACCAAAACCCUGAUCACUGUACCAAGAGAAGAGCACAUGCAGCAGCAGCCCAGGCCUUGCCCAGCCCACCCUUGUGCCCCUGGGCUGUUUGCUUUAGAUGCUUUCUCAGGUUUUGCUUUUGAUCAGUUUGGAAGUCAGACCUCAUUCUUGCUGUGCAGGUACUAAUAACCAUGAAGAAGGCAUUAGUGAAGUCCCCUCAACUUUUCCUCCCCAGGCCACCUGCUUAUGAUUUAUUAUUGACAAACUCCUUCCUGCUCUGUUUUAACAUCCAACUCUACUGCAGAUGCCGGGCGGCAGUAAGGAUCUUUUGCCUUCAGGGUAGUUUAGGCUGAAGUCAAACCACAUGAAAGGAAACAGUGUUUGCCUACUUUUACAGCUAUACAAAAGUUGCCAUCUGAUAUGAUAAAAAGUGAUUACUUUCUUAAACUGGUUCUUCUUUGUUCCUGGAUUAGUUUCCAGUUAUCUGUAAGUGAGUGUGGCAAACUACGUGGAAUACUACAGAAGAAAUACAAAAAGAAAAGAAGUUCUACUGGCAAAGAUCAAAGAAAAGUAAUCACCACGUUUUCUUGAAUCAUACCCUUCCUUUGAAGGCAGCAGCUGAUGAAGAAGGAUCUGAGGAAGCCGAUGCUUGAAGUGCCUUUGAAACGAGGGGUAUGCACUCAGAAUAAAUGUCCACAUUGGCAAUAUCACACGUCUUCUGAAAACUCUUUCACUUACUGUAAUUCCUCUGUUGUCUGAACAGGCUUCCAGGAAAAAACACACAUCUCCUGCACAGGCUGAUUAAAUAACCAAUUGGCAAAGCUGGAAUAUGAUUCUUUUUCCCUGGAAGUUACAAAUGAGAUACACCCCAUUCCCAC
ensembl:lncRNA